rnacentral:rRNA from 1 species
CGAUUGCGAAGGCAGCUUGCUGGGCCAUUACUGACGCUGAUGCACGAAAGCGUGGGGAUCGAACAGGAUUAGAUACCCUGGUAGUCCACGCCGUAAACGAUGAUCACUCGCUGUUAGCGAUACACAGUUAGCGGCUAAGCAAAAGCAUUAAGUGAUCCACCUGGGGAGUACGGCCGCAAGGCUGAAACUCAAAGGAAUUGACGGGGGCCCGCACAAGCGGAGGAACAUGUGGUUUAAUUCGAUGAUACGCGAGGAACCUUACCUGGGCUUAAAUGUAGAGUGCAUGAGGUGGAAACACUUCUUUCCUUCGGGACUCUUUGCAAGGUGCUGCAUGGUUGUCGUCAGCUCGUGCCGUGAGGUGUCGGGUUAAGUCCCAUAACGAGCGCAACCCUUAUCGUUAGUUGCCAGCGGGUAAUGCCGGGAACUCUAGCGAAACUGCCGGUGUAAACCGAGAGGAAGUGGGGAUGACGUCAAAUCAGCACGGCCCUUAUGUCCAGGGCUACACACGUGUUACAAUGGCCGGUACAGAGGGCAGCUACCUGGAGACAGAUGCGAAUCUCGAAGCCGGUCUCAGUUCGGAUCGGAGUCUGCAACUCGACUCCGUGAAGCUGGAUUCGCUAGUAAUCGCGCAUCAGCCAUGGCGCGGUGAAUACGUUCCCGGGCCUUGUACACACCGCCCGUCAGCCAUGGAAGUUGGGGGUACACUGAAGUCCGU